CUUGCUCUCUUUGUCUCUGUCCCUCCACAGCACACGGUAGCACUGCAGCCUUUUCCAGAGGCCACAGGGAGUCCCGUAAGAGCUUAGACAACACCUAGACCUGAGGAGAAAGUAGGCGGUUUCUUCAAUGAGGAGAAGCCAAGAGUGUGGUCCCUGGGGAAGGGUCCAGAGGAUCAAGCGUUCAUGCUCCUGGUUUUGUAAGUUUGUGAGGAGCUAAUUGGUGUUUUGACUCCAGGCUUCACCCCAACCCGGGUGGAGCCUGGCCGCACACACCUUUCUUUGAGGAAUGGUGUCUCUCUUGGCUGCCCAGCGUCACAGAAGCUGAGAAAAAUGGCCCAGGAACUAUUUCAGAAAUGAAGUCCAGAGGCACAGGGAGAAGGUGGCCACCUCCCACUCCUCUCCCAGCAGUGCACUCACCGAGGGUCCCAUCACAGUCCUUUUGGACCACUGCUCAGGCCUUUGCUGAACACAAGCCUCCCAGGUCCAGACAGUCACAGAACAGCAAGAGGAGGUGACGCCUUGAGUCAUAGUCAUAUUCACUUUCACAUCGCCAUUGCCCCUCUGCAUCUGCGUGGUCUGAAGAAGGGAGUCUCGUUCAGGAAACACCUGCUGGAAGAGGGCUUUGGAAAUGCCCAGGUCAUGAUCAAAGCAGAGCGACAGCCUCGUGUGCCAGGAGCAGAGGGACAAGGGCGUGGAGGAGAGUAUGAGCAGCAACAUGAAGACCCAGAUCUGGAAGGCCCAACUCCUCCUCUGUUCCACACGUAUAUG